GGGGCUGUUUGGUUUUGACAGCAGGUAAAACGGGUAUGUAAGCAUGCCGAGCUUUGAGAUGUAGCUCGUUAAUCCAGAUCUCAAACAACAAUAGGCAAUAAUAAUUUUGCUCUCGCUGCCUAAUCCAUUAGAUGGAUGAAGCGUUACCCUGACCCCAGGUGGUUGGGGGCGAGAUAUCCCGCAGUAAUUUGUUCCAGAUUGGUUGCUGUAUAUGGGGUACCGUUCAAACCAGGAUAGUUUGAAGUCCUUUCCCGGGGCCAGAGCGAACUCUCAAGGGAAUAAGGUUCAGGUCGGCUGUCGUUUGCCAGCCUGUUCCCUAAAACCAAUAAACGGAUAAGCAUGUAGAAACCAUAUUGGUUUCUGUUUGGACCGGGGUUCGACUCCCCGCAU
rnacentral:tmRNA from 1 species